rnacentral:rRNA from 1 species
AUGGAUUUUGUUAAAUUGAAUGUGGAUGCUUCUUUUGAUUAUGAUCAACUAAGGGGCACAACCGGGGCUGUUAUCAGGGAUGAUAGAGGAAAUUUCAUUGUAGGUGAAAACGGUAAGAUCGAGUGUUGUGCGGAUGCACUGACAGCGGAAGCACUGGCACUUAGGUUUGGUUUAUUUUUGGCUCAUAAGGCGGGAUGCAAUCGCGUUAUUAUUAAUUAUGACAAUAUGAAAGUAAUUGACACGAUGAAGAAUGGAGGUCAUGACCAGCAAGAGCAAUUUUUGAGGAUUGUUUUUUUGGCUUGUGAUUUUCCUGUUACCAGUUUUGAGCAUUGUAAUAGAGAAGCGAACAAAGUAGCCUAUGAGCUCGCUAGAGUAGCAAAAUGUUUCAUGACUAGCCAUUGGAUUGAGGAGCCCAUGGGAAAUUUUGUAUCUCUUCUGACAAACGAUGUAACUAUUAUCUCUAAUUAA